AUUAAUUUAUGUAUUUAAAUAUAAUUUAUGUUUUAUUUGUAGUCGUUCUUCUUUAGUCAGAAAUAAUUAUCGUCUAUAUAUUUAAUGUUUUCACUUGACUUUAUUCUGAAUUUUCUUAAGAACAUGAUGAACUACAGAAAGAGAUACAAGCGAUACAACAAGAACAUGAUCAACUACAGGAGGAGAAGGACACAAUACAAAAAGAAUACAAUGAAUAUUUACAGAAUGAGACCAAGAGAAUAGCACAAGAACAUGAUCAACUACAGGAAGAGGCGAAAAGAAUACAAGAAGAACGUGAUCGACUACAGAAUGAGAACAAGAAAAAAAAACAAGG